rnacentral:lncRNA from 1 species
GAUGAUACCAUCAAUCAACUAAAAACAAUAAAAACUUAUUCGAAACACAUUCAACUUGUCACUGAAGGGGUUGGAGCAUCAGAAGUUGUAAUCUCACUUUCAGAGGCAAUAACAGGCGCGGUAACAACUUCUGAGGGAGCAGCAAUAGGAGCAGUAUCAACUAGGCUUGAAGUGUUAACAUCAUCGAUGGAAGCAAGAGUCACGGGAAC